UUGGCUGGUUAAUACUAAAUAUGAAGGAACCCUAAUACGAAAUAGAUGCAAAAUUUGGAAUGUCGGUUUAACUAAACUUUCCAUAUUUUCAAGUUAUUUAAUGCCAAUUCUUAAUUAAAAUCAUGAUCUUCCAUAAACGGUUCGUUUGACUACAAAAGAGCGCCAGGCUCUUGUACUCUUCGGUAUUCAUAUUUCUUCUUCCUGAUCUCUCGUAUCCACCUUUGUUUUCAUCAAAUUACGAGGUUAAUCGUUUUCCUCGUUCUUGGUAUGCUCUUAGUCGUUUUCUUUCUCUUCAUCGAAAAUACAUAUGCGUUUUUCUAGGGUUUUAAACACACUAUAUGUAGAUUCUUGGGUUCUGAAAGGAACACUUAGAUUUUAGUCGUUUUCUCCGGUUCCAGUAAAUAAUGCCACUUCCAAAACAGAACUAAUCUCUAGAAAUUGGCGACAGUGGAACAGACGAUGAUGUCGGAGAGCAAGCGUUCUUAGCUGUUCUUCUUUCAUGCUCUGCAUUUUUUCUUCAGGAGAUGUGUGAUCCACACUACGACCCCGACGCGUUUUUGCCUUUGUGUCUUCCCCAAAACCUAUUUCUAUCCAACUCCAACUCCAACCACAAUUUCUCUUUUCCACAAACCUUUCCGCUCUCCAAAUCCCCUGCAACAAUUCGAAUCAUUCACACUUGCUUACUCGAUUAGAGACAACACUUUGGAUUGUUGUUAGGAUCAUUGUGGGAUAUAACAACAAGAAAUACUACAUUGAUAUCAUUGAAUCAAAGCCUUCAAAUCCAAUAACCAUCAUUGAAACCGAUUGUGGUCUUGAUUACAAGGAACCAAAGAGGCCCCACCCCUAUCAUCCUUGCCACCUGACCAAGAGGAAGCAAAAUUGAACCUGUUUAAAAUACCAACCACCUCCUGUUUCCACCACUUCCGCCUCCAAUGGAAAACAACUGGUGGAGGUGUGCCACUGCCGCCUCCUACCGGUUCUAGCUCCCACCAAACUCAGGGAAAACUCGUGUUCAGUUCUAAUGCCGCCUCUCAAAAGCAAAAGGCACCAAUUAUUUGAAGAUGAAACUGAAGGCAUUUGACACUUAAGUUGAGAUGUAGGAAUUCUCUUUUAGUGCUGGUUCUUGUCACUUAUAGUCGAGAAACUGAUACUUCAAGUUUACUGAGAGAUAGCAAAAUACUUUCAGCUCUUAUUCCAGGCAUGCUCUGUUCUACUAAACAUCUUUAUAUUUUCUUGUGUCUUCUUCAUUCUUGUUUUUGUAUGAUACUUUACAUUGAUUAGCAUUUCAUAUCUACGCAUUUUAGAUUCUGUUUUUUAUAAAAAACAUUUUUUCCUUAAAAAUCAACCCAAUUAUGACAUUGCAUUUUUGUAGGUCUUUUCUGUAACAACAAUGUUACUUUCAAAUUUCUUAUUAAAAACCACAUUUCCCUUUGAAAAUCAUCGCAAUUUUUUUUUUUUAGUUUUUUUUCUUUUACAACGUUGUUACUUUCAAAUAUUUUCAUAUCAAGACAUUUUGUUAAAAAGUCCUUUCAUUAUUUUCUUCUUUGGGCAUUUUACUAUGAAAUUUUUAACAAUUAUAGCAUUGUAUUAAGUUUUAUUAUUAAAAGCACAUUUUCCUUAGAAUAAAUAUCUCAAUUAAAGCUUUGCAGUUUUUUAGAAUAAAUAUUUUUUUUUUCAAGACAUAUCUUAUGAAAAAUCAUCUCAAUUAAAGCAUUGCAUUUUUAAAUUUUCUUUUACUAUUACAACAUUUUUACUUUCAAAUAUUCUUUUAUCAAGACAUUUUUUACAAAAUUAUCCACAUUUUUUACUCAUCUAGGCAUUUUACUUUGAAAAUUUACUGUUUAUAGCAUUGUACUUUCAAUUUUCUUAUUAAAAGACAUUUUCUUUUAAAAAAAUCAUCCCGUUUAAAGCAUUGUUUUUUUUUUCCUGUUACAACAUUUUUAAAUCAAAAUAUUCUUUUAUCAAAAUAUCUUUAAAUUAUCUAGGCAUUUUACUUUGAAAGGGUUACCAAUUACAGCAUUGUACUUUUAGUUUUUUUUUUUUUUUUAUUAAAAGCACAUAUUUUUUUGAAAAAUCAUUCCAUCUAAAGCAUUGUAUUUGUUUAAUUUUUGUUUACCAAUACAACAUUUUUACUUUCAAAUAUUCUUUUAUCAAAGACGUUUUAUACAAAAUCUUUGCAUUUCUUAAUUAUCUAUUCUAGGCAUUUUACUUUGAAAAAUUUAUCAAUUAUAGCAUUGUAAUUUCAGUUUCCUUAUUAAAAGAACAUUUCUUUUGAAAAAUCAUCCCAAUUAAAGCCUUACGUUUUUUAAUUUUUCUUCCUUUUACAACAUUUUUACUUUCAAAUAUCAUUUAUCAAGAAAUUGUUUUCAAAAAUAUUUUCAUUUUUAUUUAUCUAGGCAUUUUACUUUGAAAAAAUUUACCAAAUAUAGCACUGUACUUUCAUUGUUCUUUUUAAAAGCAGAUUUCUUUUGAAAAAUCAUUCCAAUUAAAGCAUUGCAUUUUUUUAGUUUUUUUUUUUACUAUUUCAACAUUUAAACUUUCAAAUAUUCUUUUAUCAAGACAUUUCUUUACAAAAAUCUUUACAUUUUACACUUAUGUAGGCUGUUUACUUUGAAAAUUUUACCAUUUGCAGCAUUUUACUUUAAGUUUUCUUAUUAAAAGUACAGUUACUUUGAAAAAUCAUCCCAAUCAAAGCUUUGCACCUUUUUAGAUACAUAGUUACUUUCAAACAUUUUGAUCAAGACAUUUUAUUAAAAAUUAAUUUAUAAAUGUUUUACAACUAUGCAUUUUAAUUUGAAAAGUUUACCAGUUAUAGCAUUGUACUUUCAGUUUUCUUUUUAAAAGCACAUUUUUUUGAAAAAUAAUACCAAAUAUAGCAUUGAAUUUUCAAGUUUUUUGUUCCUAUUAAAACAAUUUUAAUUUCAAAUAUUAUUUUAUCAAGACAUUUUAUUAAAAAGUCUUUACAUCUUUUACUUAUCUAGGCAUUUUACUUUGAAAAUUUUACCAAUUACAGCGUUGUACAGUUUUCUUAUUGCAUUUUUUUUUAACUUUUUUUCUUAUUAAUAUUACAUCAUUUUUACUUGCAAAUAUUCUUUUUUCAAGACAUUUUUUACAAAAUUCUUUGCAUUUUUUUACUUAUAUAGGCAUUUUAGUUUGAAAAAUUUACCAAUUAUAUCUUUGUACUUUCAUUUUUUAGUUAUUCAUUUAUUAAAAGAACAUAUCUUUUAUAAAAUCAUCCUACUUAAAGCAUUGCAUUUUUUUAGUUUUUUUACUUUUACAUCAUUUUUACUUGCAAAUAUUCUUUUAUCAGAACAUUUUUUUAGGCAUUUUACUUUGAAAAAAUUACCAAUAAUAGCUUUGUACUUUUAGUUUUUUUUAUUAAAAGCACAUAUCUUUUAUUAAAUCAUCCUACUUAAAGCAUUGCAUUUUUUUAGUUUUUUUUUACUAUUACAACAUUUUUAUAUUCAGUUAUUCUUCUAUCAAGACAUUUGUUACAGAAAUCUUUACAUUUUUUUUUACUUUUUAAGGCAUUUACUUUGAAAACAUACAAAUUAUAGCAUGGUAAUUUCAGUUUUCUUAUUAAAAGCAUAAUUCCUUAGAAAAAACAAUUAAAGCAUUUCAUUUUUUAGCUUUUUUUUACUAUUACAACAUUUUUACUUUCAAAUAUUCAUUUAUCAAGACAUUUUUUACAAAAAUUCUCAAACUUUUUACUUCAAAUUUUUUACCAUAUAUAGCGUUGUACUUUCAAUUUUCUUUUUUUAAAGCACAAUUCUUUUGAAAAAAUCAUCCCAAUUAAAGCAUUAAAUGUUUUUCUAGUUUUUCUUACUAUUGCAUCAUUUUUACUUGCAAAUAUUCUUUUUCAAGACAUUUUUUUACAAAAAUCUUUAUAUUUUUUUACUUAUCUAAGCGUUUUACUUUGAAAAAUUUACUAAGUAUAGCACUGUUUUUUUCAAUUUUGUUAUUAAAAGCACAUUUUCUUUAGUAAAAUCGUCCCAAUAAAGUUUUGUACUUUUUUUUAAAAACUCUUUAAAUUUAUACAUAUCAGGCUUUUUACUUUUAAACUUUUACCAAUUAUAGCUUUGUACUUUCAGUUUUUUUUACUAAAUGCACAUUUUCUAUUUGAAAAUCACCCCAAUUAUAACUUUACAGUUUUCUAGUUUAUUUUAUUUUUAUUUUAUUGCUUUUUUUCAACAUUUUUAAUUUCAAAUAUUCUUUUAUGACAAAUUUAGAAAAAAUAAACUUUACAUCUUUUACAUAUCUAAGCCUACUAUUUUUAGCUAUUUACCAAUUAUAGCAUUAUAGCUUUAGUUUUUUUAUUAAAAAAACAUUUUCCUUUGUACCAAUUUAAGCAUUGUACUUUAAAAAAUCAUCGCAAUUACUUUCCAAUAAUUUUUUAUCAAGACAUUUUAUUAAAAAUCUUUACAUUUUUUUUACUUAUCUUGACAUUUUACUUUGAAAAUUUUACCAGUUAUAGCAUUAUUUUUUCUGUUUUCUUAUUAAAUGCACAUUUCCCUUUGAAAAAUCAUACAAUAUAAAUCUUUACAGUUUAAAGCAUUGUAACUUCCAAAAAAUUCUUAUUAGCACAUUUUGUUUCAAAAAAUUUCCAUUUAUAGAAUUGCAGUUUUUUGUUAUCAAUGUCUUUUAUCAUAUCAAGUCACUUUACUUUGAAAUAUCUAUCCUUUUUUUUUUUUACUUUGAAAAAAUAAUAAUAGUUUUCUCAUCAAGGCAUGUUAUUUUGAAAAAUCCAUCAAAUUUUUUCAUAUCUAGUGAUUUUAUUUUGAAAAAUCUAUUUCAUUUUUCUUUCAACGCAUUUUACUUAGAAAAAUUUAUCAUUUUUUUAUAUCAAAGCUUUUUACUUUAGAAAACCUACCCACUAUAGCAUUGUACUUUCAGUUUUCUUCAAAUAAGCACAUUUUUCUUUCAAAAGUCAACACAUUUAUAGCAUUGCAUUUUGCAUCAUUUUGCAUUUUGCUGUUUGUUUAACAUUAUUACUUUCAUAUUUUAUUUUAUCAAGUCUAAAAAGUCUAUAAACUUUUUUUUAUUAAGGUAUUUUACUUUAGAAAAUUUAUCCUGGUUUUUUGCUCAUCAAAACACUUUAUUUUUUGAAUAAUCCAUCAUUACAACUUUUUAAUUUGAAAAAUCUAAUAAUCUUAAGUCUAAAAAGUCUUAUCAAAUCAUUUUAUUUGAAAAUUUUAUCAUUUUUUUUAUAAAGGCAUUUUACUUUGAAAAAUCAACCCAUUUGUUUUCUUAUAGCUACAACAUUACAACUUUUUUUUUGUUUAAAUCUUAUCAAUUCUUUUUACUUUAAUCUAUCAAAUUUUUUCAUUAUAAAAAAUCUAUUGAGUUAUAGCAUUGUAGUUUCACUUUUCUUAUUUUGAGCACAUAUCUUGUUGAAAAAUCAACCUCAUUUUAGCAUUGCACUUUCAGUAUGUUUCUUUUUUACUACAACAUUGAAAAAUCUAUAAAAUAUUGCAUUGCAUUUUCAGUUUUAUUAUUAUAAGCAUAUUUACCUUUGAAAAAUCAACUCGUUUAUAGCAUUGCACUUUUCAAUUUUCUUUCCGUUAUUGCAUUGUAACUUUCAUGUUUUUUUUCUUUUAAUGUCAUGUUACUUUGAAAAAUCUAUCAGUUUUUUCUAAUGAAGGCAUGUUACUUGAAAAAUCUAUGAUUUAUAGCAUUGCAUUUUUCUUUUUUCCUUUUUCUUUUUUCUACAUCAUUUUAUUUCGAAAAAUCUUUUAAUUAUAGCACUACGCUUUUCGAUUUUCUUUCUGUUGCAACAUUGUAAAUGUCAAUUAUAGCAUGUUAGCUUCAAAAAUCUAUCAAAUUGUUCUUUUAAUUUUUUUUAUUAUAAGCUACAAUUUAAAGCAUUGCGCUUUUAGUUUUCUUAAAACAAACGCAUUUUCUUCGAAAAUUUAAUCCAAUUAUAGCAUUUCAAUUUCAAGUAUCCUUUCUGCUUCAAAAUUUUCUUACCAAGGUCUUUACUUUGAAAAUCAACCCAAUUAUUACAUUGUCAUUUCCAAUCAUAGCAUAUUUUUCUUGUAAAAUCAACCAAUUAAAGCAUUGCAGUGUCCUGUUUUCUUUCUGUUACAACAUUCAAUAAGAAAAUAUGUUGUACUAAUUAUCAACAUGUGUAUGCUUAUGAGAGGUUUUGAAAUGUAUUUUAUUCCUUACAUUUUUGUAUGCUCUGUUGAUGGUUAUUUGUUUUCAGUAGUUGAUAAUAAUUGUUUUAGAAAAAUCAGCUUCAGAAGUCACUUUAUCAAAUAUUUGUAUAUGGGCAGGUUUGCGUUUCCUGUUUCUUACUUUUAAUUUGUAAAUUGUUUACUUGUUUUGAUUGAUGUAUUUGCUUAUUUUGUAAAUAAAUUAUUUAAUUGUUUACUCAAGUUAAUGAAAUAUAUUUAUAUCUUUUAUGAGUUAAUUAUCGGAUUUGAUUUUAAAAAAGUUUUAUGUUCUGGUUUACUUUUUUUUGAAAUUUUACUUUUGAUGACAAGUUUUCUUUCCAACACUUGCAUUUUUAUUACUUACUUGUGUUAUUGUUUACUUAUGGAUAUUUAGUUUGUCUUUUGAAUUUAUGUCACAUUUAUGGCAUUGUUACUUUUUUUUUGUUAUAAAUUUCUAGUAGCGACAUGAUUAUCUGUAGUAUGUAUGAUGUAUCUAUUUAUUUGCCUCGUUUUAUGCUGUUAUGUAGUUAGAAAUGUAAGUGUAAUUCUUAUUAAGAGUUUUAGAUUAUAUGAUCUUUAAGAGCAAUCAACACAUCAUUUUAGUUCUUGUUUUGCAGUGUUUUCAUCAAAUCAUUUGUAUAUGGUGUUUUAUGAAUGUUGUUUUGUAAAAGGUGGUAGGUAGUCUUGUAGUUUUUUAUACAACUUUUUCUUAAUAUCUUGUUUACAUCUUUAUGUAUCGUGUGGUUUCUGCCUUUGUCCAUAAGCAUUUAUUAGUUACUAAUGCUUCUUUGACUUCAGAUAUAUUAUUAUAGGCUAAUACGUACAACUAUUGUGUCUUGGUUAUAAGCCUGAUCAUAAUGUUAUUUUUGUAGUUUUGCUUGUUUAAUUUCAUAUAUAUAUAUAUAUAUAUACAUAUAUAUAUGACUUUUUUUCCUAAUGUACGUAGUUUUACUUUAAAAUAUUCCUCACCCACUUGGGCUAGCUAUUUUUAUAUAUUCCAUUUAAUAAUACUAAAUAGUUAUUGUUCUAAAUUUAUCAUACAUAUGAAAUGCAAAAAGCUGUCAAUUCAAAACUUACACCAUUUCUGGCUUUCUUUAUUGGUCAAAUUACUCACUUUUAUUUUAUUGAUUAUUGGUAUUUAUCAAGACUCACUUUUGAUUUUUUUUUCCUCUCAAUUUAUUACCAAGUCUAGUGGCAGAUUCAAAUAGCCACCUGAUCAAAAUUUGCAGCAUCUAUGGCAGAUAUGGGAGAGAUCUAAUUUUUUUUUGUUAUAAGAAGAGCUCUUAAUUGGUUGCAGGAUUGGUCUCUCCGGAAGAGUAAAAUGAUUAAAGAACUUGUCUUGUUUAACAACAGGAGAGGAGAUAGAAUUAUGGUGGGAUAUAACAACAAUAAAUUCUACAUUGAUAUAAUUGAAUCAAAGCCUUCAAAUGCAAUAAGCAACGUUGAAAUCGAUUGUGAGAAGAGGAACCAAAAUUCAACCUGUUUAUAGGAUCAGGAAGAAGAUUGUAUGCUCUUUUAAGUUGUUGUCAGUUAUAGUGGAGAUACUGAAUCUUUCUUAUGCUCCAAGUUUUCUGAGAAAUACCAAAAUACUUUCAGCUUUUAUUCCAGUUGAUAAUAUUUGUUUUAGAAAAAUCAGUUUCAGAAGCCACUUGAUCAAAUAUUUGCAUAUGGGCAGUUUCUUACCGAGUCUAGUGGCAGAUUCAAAUAGCCGUCUGAUCAAAAUUUGCAGCAUCUAUGGCAGAUAUUUGAUUCCUACAAAAAGCCACCCAGACCGAAAUUUGCAUAGGCAAUAGCAGAUUAUCGAUCCCGGGCCUCCUCUUCCUGGGUCACUGAUAUUGGGUCUAGUCAUCAUGUUGCAUCCGAUCUCUCGAGCUUUGAUCACUCCGAGGCAUACCAUGACCAUGACAACUUAUUUGUUGGCAACGGGCCUGGACCACCAACACCACUAUACACAUUCUCCAUCCCUGCGACGACGUCGGAAAGGAAAGCCAUCGCAGUAAACUAGGGUUGUUAUUAUCUGAAUAGAGGGCGGUGGUGGUGAUUUCUGUAAGAUUUUAGCAAGAAGUGAAGCAUACGACUGUUUUUAUGUGCGUAUUUCUGGAGAUUUUUUUUUUAAUCUUGAAUCAGAAAUUACAUGUUGAGGUGGAGGUUCAAAGUUGGCACGCCAAGUGUUCGAUGAAAGUACUGAGAUACGUCCAGUGGUGUUCCAUUUUCUGAGAGUUUCACCACAUAUUAGCCCACUAUCUGCUGGUCCACGUGGACAUUGGAAUCAUUGCAAAGUGAAUCCAAAAGAAUGCCUUCGUAAUCAAAUAAGAGUUUUGCAAGGUUGUUGAUCUGUUUUUACAAAGAGUUGCAGGAUUGGUGUCGCCAGAAGAGUAAAUAUGAUUAGAGACAACACUUUGUCCUGUUGUUAGCAUCCUUGUGGGAUAUAACAAGAAGAAAAAAAAAUACUACAUUGAUAUCAUUGAAUCACAACCAUCAUACGGUGUUGGUGUUACUUUCUUCUACGGGAGAUGUAUUUGAAAUCCGAGUUUAUUAUUCGAGGACAUGACAUUUGUUCGGGAUCAUUCAAUUGGAUGUGCCAAUUGGAUAUGCGUAGGAGCAUGGUACACGUUAAAGUUAAAAGCAAGCCAAUCCAUAUUAUGAGAUUUCACACCCUCAAGUUUAAAGAUAAGGCUUCAUAUGCCCAAUGGUUAUAAUAUAUGUCUAGAGUACCCCCUCCAGGUGGUUUACUUAUCAAUUUACACCCUCAGUUUGUUUUUGUGGUGAAUAUUAUUGCAAACAUAUGACGAUCGAAUUGACAAAAAGUAAACUUGGAGGUGUUAUUCUAAACACUUUCAAAUAAGUUAUUAACAUGGAGGCAUUGAGGGGAGCAAAA